ensembl:lncRNA
AUGUAACUGAGGUGGUGCUGGCCAGCUAUUUUCUGAACUGAUCAACCAGUGUGCAAGUAUCCUCCAGCCAUUUUCUUCUCCGUCCUCUUGCUGCUCCUCCAACAAAGCCAAAAUACCUGAGGUGUUCUGCUGUGCUUUCACUGGCCAGAAGCUUUGGGGUGCCUGGAGUUGUCAGUGAGCAAUUGGGCUCUCUUUAUGGGGUUAAAUCACCCCCUAAAGAAUGCUGGACCCUCCAUAUUGCAACUCAGCAAGAGGAGCAACAGCCUUGGUCCUUUCCUUUCAUCUAGUAACUGGCAACCUGCCCACGGCAGGAGGUUGGAAUUGCAUGAUUUUUAAGGUCCUACCGAAGCCAUUCAAUGAUUCUACCACACGAAGGCUGCAUUAUUCUUUCAUUGUGCUGCCUGCUGCCACGCAGGGAACCUUCCAACUCACUUUGCAGUUGACUGCUUCAUUCAGGAGCCUAAAUGUCCAAGUGCAGAUACUCAUUACGUUUCUUGUGGAUUCACACAGCCUUAAUACCAGCAUAGAUCUUUUGGGGGCACUCAACGAACCUGGUCACGAAGAGCCAAUACCCUGAUUAAUCUCAGAAAUAACUCAGAUCUCCGUAAAUGCCCACCUAGCUCACCACAGUGAGUCCUACUGCCCACGGCAGGUGCCUGAGCUCUGUGAGGAGAGAGGAGAAGGUGCUGAGAGGAUUUUCCUGCUGAGAGAGGCAGAAAGGAUCGGCUGGAAGAAGGACAGGGUUAAGCAGGUCUACCUGAUAUUGGAAACAUGAAGAGGGAAAAGUGACGCAAAGAUAAGAACUUCAGUAGAAAGUUUUAUACAGCUUCUCAUCACUGGAUCAGACAGGGACUGGCUCUCAAGAGAAACAAAAAGCAUAGCAGGUAAUGCAGAGAAGGCCUCCAGGAGUAAGAGGUACAUUACUACAGUUUUUUCCACUCCUGCAGAUCAACGCUAUCAAUCUACCAUUACACCCUGUCUUUCAGAUGGAGCCUGAUUUAUAGUAAAGGAACCACCUGAAUUUUUCCAGAGCACCUAAUUCAGUGAGACAAGUGCAAGCUUCCUUUCUCCAAAAGGAAAAUAAACCCACAAAACAAAGGCAUCUGGAGAACUGCAUUAAAGCCAACUAGUUCCCUCUUGUGUAGGUUGUACAACCCGCCUACAAGUGAACCCCUGUUUCCCCCCAGCUGGAUAGAGCAGAGCCUCCCACCAUGUAGCACCAGAGCCAUCAGACUCUGUCUGGACCCCGACCUCAUAGAACACAUACCUGAGAGCUGCUGGUCUUGGAGCAAACUAAAGUCUUAUCCCAAGCUGCUCGAAGUUAAUCACUCAUUGCAAAACUCCGUGCAAUAUCAGGUAGGACUCAAAGAAGAGGAGGCAGGUUUUUUUUUUUCAGAGAAUUACCCAAUUUGGAAAAAAAAGUAAUACACAACAAAAGUGUUUCUCAGAGGGAUGUGAGAUGAAAGCUUGACUUAUGGAAAGGGGAAAAGAAACGAUUAAGUGGUGAAGCAAGAUCUUCGUGAAACAACAUUUAAGCGUGUUAUGUAAUAAAAUGCUCUUAUCAUUCAAGAUUUUGAAUGUAAACUUCCCUUCCCUAUUGAAAUAAAGGACUUUCCAAACG